GUAGGGUGCGAGCGUUAAUCGGAAUUACUGGGCGUAAAGCGUGCGUCAGGCGGCUCGUUAAGUCAGAUGUGAAAUCCCUGGGCUCAACCUGGGAACUGCAUUUGAAACUGGCGAGCUCGAGUUGAGUAGAGGUAAGUGGAAUUUCCAGGUGUAGCGGUGAAAUGCGUAGAUAUCUGAAGGAACACCAGUGGCGAAGGCGACUUCCCUGGACUCAAACUGACGCUGAGGCACGAAAGCGUGGGUAGCAAACAGGAUUAGAUACCCUGGUAGUCCACGCCGUAAACGAUGUCAACUAGCCGUUGGUCCUAUUUACAGGAUUAGUGGCGCAGCUAACGCAUUAAGUUGACCGCCUGGGGAGUACGGCCGCAAGGUUA
rnacentral:rRNA from 1 species